GCGCAGGUGGCGAAAUUGGUAGACGCACUACCUUGAGGUGGUAGCGCUUUCAUGAAUUUAUGAAAUGAAAUAUCAACAACCUGUACUGAAUCUGUAAGAUUCAAAUCCUCUCCUGCGCA
rnacentral:tRNA from 1 species